rnacentral:rRNA from 1 species
AGAUUGAACGCUGGCGGAAUGCCUUACACAUGCAAGUCGAACGGCAGCACGGGAGCAAUCCUGGUGGCGAGUGGCGAACGGGUGAGUAAUACAUCGGAACGUGCCCAAUCGUGGGGGAUAACGUAGCGAAAGCUACGCUAAUACCGCAUACGAUCUACGGAUGAAAGCAGGGGAUCGCAAGACCUUGCGCGAAUGGAGCGGCCGAUGGCAGAUUAGGUAGUUGGUGGGGUAAAGGCUCACCAAGCCUUCGAUCUGUAGCUGGUCUGAGAGGACGACCAGCCACACUGGGACUGAGACACGGCCCAGACUCCUACGGGAGGCAGCAGUGGGGAAUUUUGGACAAGUGGGCGCGAAGCCUGAUCCAGCCAUUCCGCGUGCAGGAUGAAGGCCGUUCGGUUGUAAACUGUACGUUUUGUAACGGAACGUAAAGUCCUUUACUACUAAGUACAGGUAGUCAGUCGACGUACCGUAAGAA